rnacentral:rRNA from 1 species
AAUGAACGCUGGCGGCGUGCCUAAUACAUGCAAGUCGAGCGAACGGACGAGAAGCUUGCUUCUCUGAUGUUAGCGGCGGACGGGUGAGUAACACGUGGAUAACCUACCUAUAAGACUGGGAUAACUUCGGGAAACCGGAGCUAAUACCGGAUGAUAUUUUGAACCGCAUGGUUCAAAAGUGAAAGACGGUCUUGCUGUCACUUAUAGAUGGAUCCGCGCUGCAUUAGCUAGUUGGUAAGGUAACGGCUUACCAAGGCAACGAUGCAUAGCCGACCUGAGAGGGUGAUCGGCCACACUGGAACUGAGACACGGUCCAGACUCCUACGGGAGGCAGCAGUAGGGAAUCUUCCGCAAUGGGCGAAAGCCUGACGGAGCAACGCCGCGUGAGUGAUGAAGGUCUUCGGAUCGUAAAACUCUGUUAUUAGGGAAGAACAUAUGUGUAAGUAACUGUGCACAUCUUGACGGUACCUAAUCAGAAAGCCACGGCUAACUACGUG